rnacentral:rRNA from 1 species
UGGGGAAUAUUGGACAAUGGGGGAAACCCUGAUCCAGCAAUGCCGCGUGAGUGAAGAAGGCCUUAGGGUUGUAAAGCUCUUUCGCCCGCGAAGAUAAUGACGGUAGCGGGAGAAGAAGCCCCGGCUAACUCCGUGCCAGCAGCCGCGGUAAUACGGAGGGGGCUAGCGUUGUUCGGAAUUACUGGGCGUAAAGCGUACGUAGGCGGAUGCGCAAGUUGGGAGUGAAAUCCCGGGGCUUAACCUCGGAAUUGCCCUCAAAACUGCACGUCUUGAGACCGAGAGAGGUAAGGGGAAUUCCUAGUGUAGAGGUGAAAUUCGUAGAUAUUAGGAAGAACACCAGUGGCGAAGGCGCCUUACUGGCUCGGUACUGACGCUGAGGUACGAAAGCGUGGGGAGCAAACA